CCGGCGACCGGCGGACGGGUGCGUAACGCGUAUGUAACCUACCUUUGACAGGGGGAUAACAUCGAGAAAUUGGUACUAAUACCCCAUAACAUCACCGGAGGCACCUUCGGUGGUUGAAAACUCAGGUGGUCAGAGAUGGACAUGCGUUGUAUUAGCUAGUUGGUGAGGUAACGGCUCACCAAGGCGACGAUACAUAGGGGGACUGAGAGGUCAACCCCCCACAUUGGUACUGAGACACGGACCAAACUCCUACGGGAGGCAGCAG
rnacentral:rRNA from 1 species